AUUAUAAGCAUUAACGCAAAUUUCAGCAAAUGACCUUUUUAGAAAAAUGUGUGGUUUCUUUAAACCAGAAGAAAUUGCAUAUUUGUAGUCCUCGUAAUUGAGGCUCACUUGUUCGUGCGAAAGAAAGUUCUCAAAUAUGCUCAAGUGAUCAAUCAUAUCAGAGGAUUGAUCAGAAUUCAGUAGGUCUUGAAUUUUCUUAAAAUUUCCUUAGUUAAAAUCAAGUUUUGGAGUUUCCUCCGGCAGUGGACUCAAUAUCUCCGUUUGGGGCAUUGGAGGUGAGCCGGAGACGAUCGAAGAAGAACCCUAUAUCCCUCAUCGUGGUUAAUAAGCCCCCCUAUGAAAUUCUCAUUAAGAGCGUUAGCUGCCGUUACUGCACUGGAAGUGCUCCGCUUACUUUGUCAGUUCUACAACCUCUCCUAUCUACAUUUCGAAGCUCUGAUCUAACAAUGGUUGUAAAACUUUGCGAAGAUUGUCUUUCCGAGUCAAUGUCUAGAAUCAUGUCGAGAGGUCGUUGGCCUUGACCUGGUGCGAUUUUGAUAAUCCUAUCAUCAAAUGGCUGCGUCUGCUUGAGAUGCUACGAAAGGAACAAUAUCGGAUGUGAAACCAGAGAUCCAUUGCUCGUUAACUACAACAUUAUGCUUUUUAUAAAAAUCUGUGGUAACUAAAUAACGAAGUGCUUCAAAAAUUUUGGAAGGUCUAAUGGUUUCAGCCAUGAAAGCAUGAAGAUACUCUUUUCUGCGUUUGAGGUGGAGCUGAAUUACCUGGGCUUCAUGGAAAGCUCGUGGAAGCUCCUUCACGAUAUCGCUUACCGAAAUAGGGACGUUUACCACUGCCCCUUUAAUGGCAU